UCCUUUGUUCAGGAGAGAUGACACCGACAUCGAUCUGAUGGGUCGGCUCAGUUCAAUUAGUUACUAGGCCAUGUGUGUCCAUCCGCUUGGAGUGGGUGUCAUCUCCCCUGAACAUAGGACG